rnacentral:rRNA from 1 species
GACGAACGCUGGCGGCGUGCUUAACACAUGCAAGUCGAACGGAAAGGCCCCUUUGGGGGUCCUCGAGUGGCGAACGGGUGAGUAACACGUGAGUAACCUGCCCUUGACUUCGGGAUAACUUCAGGAAACUGGGGCUAAUACCGGAUAGGAAUCCUUGCUGCAUGGUGGGGGUUGGAAAGCUUCGGCGGUUUUGGAUGGACUCGCGGCUUAUCAGCUUGUUGGUGGGGUAGUGGCUUACCAAGGCUUUGACGGGUAGCCGGCCUGAGAGGGCGACCGGCCACAUUGGGACUGAGAUACGGCCCAGACUCCUACGGGAGGCAGCAGUGGGGAAUAUUGCACAAUGGGCGGAAGCCUGAUGCAGCAACGCCGCGUGCGGGAUGACGGCCUUCGGGUUGGAAACCGCGUUCAGCAGGGGCGAAGCUUGUGGUGACGGUACCUGCAGAAGAAGCACCGGCUAACUACGUG